rnacentral:rRNA from 1 species
AUGAACGCUGGCGGCGUGCCUAAUACAUGCCAGUCGAGCGAACAGACGAGGAGCUUGCUCCUCUGACGUUAGCGGCGGACGGGUGAGUAACACGUGGAUAACCUACCUAUAAGACUGGGAUAACUUCGGGAAACCGGAGCUAAUACCGGAUAAUAUAUUGAACCGCAUGGUUCAAUAGUGAAAGACGGUUUUGCUGUCACUUAUAGAUGGAUCCGCGCCGCAUUAGCUAGUUGGUAAGGUAACGGCUUACCAAGGCAACGAUGCGUAGCCGACCUGAGAGGGUGAUCGGCCACACUGGAACUGAGACACGGUCCAGACUCCUACGGGAGGCAGCAGUAGGGAAUCUUCCGCAAUGGGCGAAAGCUUGACGGAGCAACGCCGCGUGAGUGAUGAAGGUCUUCGGAUCGUAAAACUCUGUUAUUAGGGAAGAACAAAUGUGUAAGUAACUAUGCACGCCUUGACGGUACCUAAUCAGAAAGCCACGGCUAACUACGU